GACAGAGGUGCCGAGCGUUAGGCGGAAUCACUGGGCUUAAAGCGUGUGUAGGCGGGUCGUUAAGUGUCUUGUGAAAUCCCACCGCUCAACGGUGGAACUGCUGGGCAUACUGGCGAUCUUGAGCCACCUAGGGGCAGACGGAACAAGCGGUGGAGCGGUGAAAUGCGUAGAGAUCGGAAAGAACACCAACGGCGAAAGCACUCUGCUGGGCCGACACUGACACUGAGAGACGAAAGCUAGGGGAGCGAAUGGG
rnacentral:rRNA from 1 species